AUUGAACGCUGGCGGCAGGCCUAACACAUGCAAGUCGAACGAGUGGCGGACGGGUGAGUAAUGUCUGGGAAACUGCCUGAUGGAGGGGGAUAACUACUGGAAACGGUAGCUAAUACCGCAUACCAUCAGAUGUGCCCAGAUGGGAUUAGCUAGUUGGUGGGGUAACGGCGCACCAAGGCGACGAUCCCUAGCUGGUCUGCGUGGAUGACCGGGCACACGUGAACGGAGAAACGGUACAGAAUCCUACGGGAGGCAGCAGUGGGGGAGAUUGCACAAUGGGCGCAAGCCUGAUGCAGCCAUGCCGCGUGUAUGAAGAAGGCCUUCGGGUUGUAAAGAACUUUCAGCGGGGAGGCGUGACCCGCAGAAGAAGCACCGGCUAACUCCGUGCCAGCAGCCGCGGUAAUUC
rnacentral:rRNA from 1 species